CCUGAUGCAGCAACGCCGCGUGAGGGACGACGGCCUUCGGGUUGUAAACCUCUUUUAGCAGGGAAGAAGCGAAAGUGACGGUACCUGCAGAAAAAGCACCGGCUAACUACGUGCCAGCAGCCGCGGUAAUACGUAGGGUGCAAGCGUUAUCCGGAAUUAUUGGGCGUAAAGAGCUCGUAGGCGGUUUGUCGCGUCUGCUGUGAAACCCCGAGGCUCAACCUCGGGCCUGCAGUGGGUACGGGCAGACUAGAGUGCGGUAGGGGAGAUUGGAAUUCCUGGUGUAGCGGUGGAAUGCGCAGAUAUCAGGAGGAACACCGAUGGCGAAGGCAGAUCUCUGGGCCGUAACUGACGCUGAGGAGCGAAAGGGUGGGGAGCAAACAGGCUUAGAUACCCUGGUAGUCCACCCCGUAAACGUUGGGAACUAGUUGUGGGGUCCAUUCCACGGAUUCCGUGACGCAGCUAACGCAUUAAGUUCCCCGCCUGGGGAGUACGGCCGCAAGGCUAAAACUCAAAGGAAUUGACGGGGACCCGCACAAGCGGCGGAGCAUGCGGAUUAAUUCGAUGCAACGCGAAGAACCUUACCAAGGCUUGACAUAUACGAGAACGGGCUAGAAAUAGUCAACUCUUUGGAC
rnacentral:rRNA from 1 species